rnacentral:rRNA from 1 species
CACGUAGGGUGCGAGCGUUUGUCCGGAAUUAUUGGGCGUAAAGAGCUCGUAGGCGGUCUGUCGCGUCUGCUGUGAAAACUCAGGGCUUAACCCUGAGCUUGCAGUGGGUACGGGCAGACUAGAGUGCGGUAGGGGGAGACUGGAAUUCCUGGUGUAGCGGUGAAAUGCGCAGAUAUCAGGAGGAACACCGGUGGCGAAGGCGGGUCUCUGGGCCGUAACUGACGCUGGAGGAGCGAAAGCAUGGGGAGCGAACAGG